AGAUGUGAGGGCGAUCUGGCUGCAACAUCUGUCACCCCAUCGAUUGCCAGGGUUGAUUCGGCUUAUCUGGCUGGCUAGGCGGGUGUCUCCUUCACUGCUCCAUGUGCAUCAAUGAAAGACGACAACCAUCUCAUACAGAAGGAGUGUACCAUUCUUUGGUCAAGGGUAUACAAUAGCUGCGCUCCUCUGCCAGAGCCUCCAAACAAGCUCAAGGUCUUUUUUGUUAAAAUCAGUUAGGUGGUGUAGGCCUUUGGCUUGCCAGGCCCUUACUUGGAUGCUUUGGGGUGCAGAGUGGAAUAGUGG